CAUGCCGGUCUUCACUCCUGUCUGAGGGUUUUUGUUUUGUUUUGUGACAGCUUUGCUCUGUUGCCCAAGCUGGAGUGCAGUGGUAGGAUCUCGGCUCACUGCAACCUCUGGCCCCCGGGUUCAAGCGAUUCCCCUGCCUCAGCCUCUUGAGUAGCUGAUGGGACUACACGCGCAGGGCUAAUUUUUUAUUUUAUUUUUUAAUUUAUUUUUUGUAUUACAGUAGAGACGGGGUUUCACCAUGUUGGCCAGGAUGGUCUCCAUCUUCUGACCUCGUGAUCCGCCCACCUCGGCCUCCUUAAGUUCUGGGGUUACAAGUGUGAGCCACUGCACCAGGCCUUUAUUUUUACUUUUAUUUAUUUAUUUUCUUUUUCUUCUUCUUCUUUGCCUUCCAGUUUCUGGUCCAGGUUUUUCCUGCUUCAAGGCUAACACUGUUCUCUAGUCCUGGAAUACCUCCUCCCCAUAAGGAACUCUGCAAGUGAGUUCGGGUCCCAGCUUGACUCCACUCUGGUGCUUUUGCACCUCUCAGUGAAGUAUUCCCGAACCUCAUCCCAACUGAAGAUCUGUUAUCUUCCUUUGCAGCCAGCACCACGCAUGUCAUCGUUUUGCCAGCCUGUCUUCCCUGCUGGGUGGAGAACCUGGGAACCCAGGGCUGUGGCUCCGGUCCGCUGCCCCGCUGCCGUGUCUGCCGUGCUGUCCUGUCGGCCCUGGAUCUUCGUUUCCUGAAUUAAUUACUCCCCAGCCAGAAGGGGAGGAGUCUUCUGUCUCUUGUUCACUCAAGCGUGCUCAGCAUCUGACUGCUGCAGACACACGCAGGUGUGCAGAGAUUGCUUGCUGGUGGAGCUUGAGUCUCCUGGGAAGCCUUAGUAUUCUGAUCUGGCUUCAGCUGGAGUGAUAGCCUUUGGCCUCAUAUCCCUUAUUCUAACCUGG
rnacentral:lncRNA from 13 species